GUACUGUGCGAACGUUAUUCGGAAUCACUGGGCUUAAAGGGUGCGUAGGCGGUUGAUUAAGUAGGGUGUGAAAGCUCUCGGCCUAACCGAGGAAUUGCGCUCUAAACUGAUCGGCUUGAGUGAGAUAGGGGUGUGCGGAACUUCCAGUGGAGCGGUGAAAUGUGUUGAUAUUGGAAGGAACGCCGGUGGCGAAAGCGGCACACUGGGUCUCAACUGACGCUGAGGCACGAAAGCCAGGGUAGCGAACGGGGGAUUAGAUACCCCGGUAGUCCUGGCUGUAAACGAUGAGCACUAGACGGGAGGAGCUUCGGCUCAUCCGGUCGCAGCGAAAGCAAUAAGUGCUCCGCCUGGGAGUAUGGUCGCAAGGCUG
rnacentral:rRNA from 1 species